AUACGUAGGGGGCGAGCGUUGUCCGGAAUGAUUGGGCGUAAAGGGCGCGUAGGCGGCCCGGUAAGUCUGGAGUGAAAGUCCUGUUUUUAAGAUGGGAAUUGCUUUGGAUACUGUCGGGCUUGAGUGCAGGAGAGGUAAGUGGAAUUCCCAGUGUAGCGGUGAAAUGCGUAGAGAUUGGGAGGAACACCAGUGGCGAAGGCGACUUACUGGACUGUAACUGACGCUGAGGCGCGAAAGUGCGGGGAGCAAACAGGAUUAGAUACCCUGGUAGUCCACACUGUAAACGAUGAAUGCUAGGUGUAGGGGGUAUCGACCCCUUCUGUGCCGCAGUCAACACAAUAAGCAUUCCGCCUGGGGAGUACGGCCGCAAGGUUGAAACUCAAAGGAAUUGACGGGG
rnacentral:rRNA from 1 species